AAAGGAGCUUCGCCAGAUUACAAAGGAGAAAAAUGAAUCUGUCCGCGGUCAAGAUUUUGAGAAGGCUGGGGAGUUGCGUGAUAGAGAAAUGGAUCUUAAGGCACAAAUCUCAGCCUUGAUAGACAAAAACAAAGAGAAGAGCAAGGCAGAAUCUGAGGCAGGAGAUGCAGCAGGUCCCAUAGUGACAGAGGCAGAUAUUCAGCACAUUGUCUCUUCCUGGACCGGCAUUCCUGUAGAGAAGGUCUCAACUGAUGAAUCUGAUCGCCUCCUAAAAAUGGAAGAAACACUUCAUACCCGAGUCAUUGGCCAGGAUGAAGCAGUAAAAGCCAUUAGUCGUGCUAUCAGACGUGCCCGUGUUGGCCUCAAGAAUCCCAACCGACCUAUUGCCAGUUUCAUCUUUUCUGGUCCAACUGGUGUUGGGAAGUCAGAACUGGCCAAGUCUUUAGCAACGUACUACUUUGGUUCUGAAGAAGCAAUG
rnacentral:misc_RNA from 1 species